rnacentral:SRP_RNA from 1 species
GCCAGGUGUGGGGGCACAUGACUGUAAUCCCAGCUACCAGGAGGGUGAGACUGGUGGAUCUCUUGAGCUCAGGAGUGAGCUGCAAUAGGCUAAGCCAAUGUCCACACUUAAGUUUGGCAUGAACAUGGUGAGCCUCUGGGAGCUAGGUGCCACCAGCUUGCCUAAGGAAGACCAAACUGGAGCAGGUCAAAGCUCCCAUGGUGAUCAGUAGUGGGACCUGGCCUACAGCCAGGUGAAUAGCCCCUGUACUUCCAGCCUGGUUGACAUGGAGAAACCCAGAUCUU